AUUCCGUGUUGCGGACAUUUUCUCAACAUCUCCUUGUACCUCUCCCAUGUAUCAUAUAAGGAUUCAGAUUCUAAUUGGCGAAAGGAAGAGAUGUCGCUUUUGAGUUU